GACGAACGCUGGCGGCGUGCUUAACACAUGCAAGUCGAGCGGUAAGGCCCUUUCGGGGGUACACGAGCGGCGAACGGGUGAGUAACACGUGGGUGACCUGCCUUUAGCUCUGGGAUAAGCCUGGGAAACUGGGUCUAAUACCGGAUAUGACCUUUGCCUGCAUGGGUGGGGUGAAAGAUUUGUUUGGCUGGGGAUGGGCCUGCGGUCUAUCAGCUUGUUGGUGGGGUNAUGGCCUACCGAAGGCGACGACGGGUAGCCGGCCUGAGAGGGCGACCGGCCACACUGGGACUGAGACACGGCCCAGACUCCUACGGGAGGCAGCAGUGGGGAAUAUUGCGCAAUGGGCGGAAGCCUGACGCAGCGACGCCGCGUGGGGAUGACG
rnacentral:rRNA from 1 species